rnacentral:rRNA from 1 species
AGUGAACGCUGGCGGCGUGCUUAAUACAUGCAAGUCGAACGAUGAAGUCCUAGCUUGCUAGGAUGGAUUAGUGGCGCACGGGUGAGUAAUAUAUAGUUAAUCUGCCUUGCACUGAGGAACAACAGUUGGAAACGAUUGCUAAUACCUCAUACUCCAACUUUACAUAAGUUAAGUUGGGAAAGUCUUUUCGGUGCAAGAUGAGACUAUAUCGUAUCAGCUAGUUGGUAAGGUAAUGGCUUACCAAGGCUAUGACGCGUAACUGGUCUGAGAGGAUGAUCAGUCACAUUGGAACUGAGACACGGUCCAAACUCCUACGGGAGGCAGCAGUAAGGAAUAUUGUGCAAUGGGGGAAACCCUGACGCAGCAACGCCGCGUGGAGGAUGACACUUUUCGGAGCGUAAACUCCUUUUGUUAGGGAAGAAUAAUGACGGUACCUAACGAAUAAACACCGGCUAACUCCGU